rnacentral:lncRNA from 1 species
UUUGACUAUAAGUUCUGCAACUUAUAUAUUCUAAUUAAUUUUGUAAGUUGCUGCUUCACUUGAUUUUUGUAUUACUGCAAUUGCAUAUUUUUUAGACAGCCGGUUAGUAACAUUUUUUAACCAAUUUUUCCUAUUAGUUCUAUUUCAUUUUUCUUUAAUUCUUUACUGAUUCUUGCCUUUUCUUUCAGCUAACUCUUACGCUCUUUCUUCGACUUCUACAACUCUCAAUUUUAUUGUAUCUAUGGUCACUCCUGCUGUUGUUGAUUAACUGCUUAUACUUUUAUUUAUUUGUUACUCAAAAUUUUUUAAUUCCUCUUAUGUCUUUACUAUUUCGUCUUUUUUUAGCUUUUUUUAUGUAAAAUCUCAAAUAUUUCUUAAGUUUAACUGUGCAUCAAAUUUUAUUCUCAGUUCUAUUUUUCUUACUCUUUUUGUAUUCUCUACGUUAUUUACAUUGUAACGAAGAUAAUAAACUAUUAUAAGUUAAAUAUCGAAUAUUACCUAUCCGUCGCAUCGCGCGGGUUACUACACUAGUGUAUUCUUAUGAUACUUAAUCAGUUAGAGAACCCCAAUAGCUUAUUUAUAGACUUUAGAAUCAAAACG